CGAGAGGAUCCAGGAAGAGGAACCCAAGGCAGAGAGGUCAAGCUUUGUCCCCAAGAUCUCUUGGCGUCCCAGAGAGGGAAGCCCCUUUGACAAUAACCGUCCUCACUCUGGAGCCGGGACGCGACUCCCGCGUGGAAAGUUCACAAGGGACCAGCCCCCUGGGAGCACUGUUCUGGGAGCACUAUUCUGACCACAACAGGUGGCGCAAAGUGAGUUUGACAGGAGCUUCAUGGCUCGAGAAUCCUGGCAGGUAUACAGGUGUCCCCCAAGUGACAGGCGACACCUGGAGACCUGACGGAGUGCCAGGCCCCACAGGGAGAUGCCCUGCGAGCUAGGUCUUCCAAGGAACCCCAGCCCAAGCUUAAAUCCAUCAUGACCUGAGC